rnacentral:rRNA from 1 species
UGGGGAAUAUUGCACAAUGGAGGGAACUCUGAUGCAGCGACGCCGCGUGAGUGAUGAAGGAAUUCGUUUCGUAAAACUCUGUUCUAUGGGAAGAAAAGGACUGUACCAUAGGAGAAAGCUCCGGCUAAAUACGUGCCAGCAGCCGCGGUAAUACGUAUGGAGCGAGCGUUGUCCGGAAUUAUUGGGCGUAAAGGGUGCGCAGGCGGCUUUACAAGUUGGAUGUGAAAUAUUGUUGCUCAACCACAAACGUGCAUCCAAAACUGCAAAGCUUGAGUUAAGGAGAGGUAAGUGGAAUUCCUGGUGUAGCGGUGGAAUGCGUAGAUAUCAGGAGGAAUACCGGUGGCGAAGGCGACUUACUGGACUUAAACUGACGCUCAGGCACGAAAGCGUGGGGAGCAAACAGG